AUCCAGAUGACGAGUCAUAAAUAGGGCGAAACACACUUCUUGGAU
rnacentral:hammerhead_ribozyme from 1 species